UAGUGGGUUACAUGCAUUUACUGGAUGU
rnacentral:sRNA from 1 species